UAGUCCACGCCGUAAACGAUGGUCACUAGCUGUUCGGACUUCGGUCUGAGUGGCUAAGCGAAAGUGAUAAGUGACCCACCUGGGGAGUACGUUCGCAAGAAUGAAACUCAAAGGAAUUGACGGGGGCCCGCACAAGCGGUGGAGCAUGUGGUUUAAUUCGAUGAUACGCGAGGAACCUUACCAGGGCUUAAAUGUAGAGUGACAGGACUAGAGAUAGUUUUUUCUUCGGACACUUUACAAGGUGCUGCAUGGUUGUCGUCAGCUCGUGCCGUGAGGUGUCAGGUUAAGUCCUAUAACGAGCGCAACCCCUGUUGUUAGUUGCCAGCGAUUCAAGUCGGGAACUCUAACAAGACUGCCAGUGCAAACUGUGAGGAAGGUGGGGAUGACGUCAAAUCAUCACGGCCCUUACGCCCAGGGGCGACACACGUGCUACAAUGGACGGGUACAGCGGGGUAGCCAACCAGCGAUGGGUGCGGCCAAUCUCUGAAAACCGUUCUCAGUUCGGGAUCGGGAGU
rnacentral:rRNA from 1 species